rnacentral:misc_RNA from 1 species
GGAAACCAACGUUUCUAGGGACUUUUCGUGGUUCGUGAUUGCAUCUUGUUAUGUGCAAAAAUCAGGCAAAAAUGCUAUUCACAUCAAUAUCGUUCACUAUUUGCCGCUGUACGGAUCCCCUUUUUUUGUAAUAGGAUCACGGAAUAUUCAGCACGAUCCGUAAAUUACCGAAAUUAAUCAGCCAAAGUGCUAAUAAAUAUUCACACUACAGUGCUUCUACGUCAAGCAGUACUCAUUAAUUCAACACAGACGAUAUUCAGGAAAACCAAAAAUAAAAAGGAAAAAUGGCAGCGCCUAUAUCCCGAGGAUGCAUUCUAUUAUUUAUUCUCAUAAAUGCCGCUUGCACUGAGAGGAUCAAAGACAUGAUAUACAAGCCUUUAGAAGGUGUUGCAGCUUGUUUUCGUCGCCACAAUGGUACUAACCAAUUUGGUUGUUCAUCAAGUCGAUCAGGCAGUGUCGGCGUUAUUCAUAUAAUCGAGGAUGAGGCCGAGCUCGUGUGGUUGGAAAAAAAUGGCAAUGCUGGACCAUAUACAGCUGUUGUACCAUUUUCAAUGUUCACCAGAGAUACUUUAAUUCGGUUACGGAACACAGAAAAUAUAAAUGGAAUUCUGCUGACAUAUAAUUCUAGUAUAGAACGACCCUCACAUUACUCCCCCGAUGACACCUGUCCCAAUAGAUACGCAGGAUUCAAACAGUGCGAUACCGAGAAACCUUGGAAUCCCUGGGGAUCUGCAUUGCUCAUGGAAGACUGGCCAUUCCCAAUGUUUUAUUUAAAGAAUCAAAGUCAAUUGAAUGAUGUCAAGACUUGUUUCACUACCUUCAAUGCCCAUGAUCGUGAUAGCCAAAGCCAACGAUCACUCUGUGCCUUGGAAAUGAAAUCAUUUAUGUUCUCUGCUGUGGAUUCGGAAACUUGUAUACGACGAAGCAUUCCAAGAUUGAACUUUAAUCCACCGCUAUACUGUGACCCUCUGGGUGACAGAAAUAUAUAUUGGCCAUUAGCAGCACUGGACAAUCAAACAGAAUCUGUGAUCCUUGUAACAGCACGCUUGGAUGCUUCAACUCUAUUUGACACACUGGCACCAGGCGCUAAUAGCGCAAUCACAGGAUUAGUUACACUCAUCGCUACGGCACACUAUUUGCAUAAUAUGAAUCCAACGGUCGGAAAAACGAACGUUGUAUUUUCACUGUUCAAUGGUGAAGCGUUUGACUACAUAGGGUCUAGUCGAUUUGUGUUCGACUUAAAAAACGGCAGUUUCCAUUCAUUGGGAGAGAAAACUUUAAUGUUUGAUCAAAUUCGCACAGUUGUUGAGCUAGGCCAGCUUGGGGAAGGAGAUAUCUAUCUGCAUUCCAGCAAUUAUGAAAACGAUUCACUAAUAACUGCAUUGAUCCCCAAGUUAUCUGCAAAAGUUUUAAAAGACAGCGUACCACCUGCGUCAAUCCAAAGUUUCCUGGCUGAAAGCUCUACUAUUAGUGCAACAGUAAUUGCAAGCCAUGGGGUAAAUUUUACAAACAAGUAUUAUCACAGUAUUCUGGAUGAUGCAGAAAGUGUCAAUUUCACGAGCUCUGAAUCUGGUCUUGCUAAAAGCCUAGAUAAAAUUGCACUAGAGCUUGCUAAUCAGUUAUUUAUCAUUGUUACUGGGACAAAUACAUCUAGUAAUGGUUCUGGAAAUAUCGAGAACCUCAUUUCAAAAAUGCUUUCUUGUUACCUGGAAAGCGCUAACUGUUCUUUAUUCAAGUCAGCUUCUGCUCCUGGUCACCAAUUGCCGGAUCAAGUCCUGCCACUGUAUGUUGGCGUUAACAGAUCGCUAAAUUAUGUGACAACUUAUACUGGACAGCUGUUGGCCUUAUUGACAGGUACAACACUGGCUGAAUAUAAUUCCAGUAUGUGCUAUGAAAACCAAUCCCUUUGGAUGGCAGGGCUUAAUUUCCAAGGGACGUGCAUCAGAUCCGCAGUCAAUUACAGCUUUGCAACAAGCCCAGCUUUCCUAAUAGAUGGAUAUGAUAUGAAAUCCGGAUAUUAUUCUACAUGGACAGAAUCCGUGUGGCAGGUACUAAGCAUGAAGAUGUUUCUGAAGCCCUCUGUGGCAGCAGAACGUUUGAACGUGAUCCUUGGAAGUUUAGUUGCAAUUGCUUCGUUUAUCAUAGUCUGGUUUAUCCAGUUCCGUGCUGAUCUUCUUUUCAAUCAGAUAUCAUAUGAUGGGGUGAGAACACUUUGAAAUUUUAUGAUUUGAAAAAUGUUUACCCGUCAAUAUAACUGGACAGGGAACCAAACACAUCAUCAAUCUUCUUCAACUAUCAAUUGUUUGGUGCAGCUGGAUUAUUUUCUCAACCAUUCUCUGCUUCUGAUACUAGUAUUUACACGAAGCUAUAUGUAAUAUACUUGGAGCACAGAAAGUGAUAACAAGUAACAUAGCUUGUCAUAAAGAUGGAGGAGUCGGAUGCCAGUAUUCCUGAUGUAAACAAAAUUUUCACAAUAUUAUACUCAAUAUUAUGAUUCAUAUAACUAGAAAAUUAUUUACCUUCACAUUUUGGGGACUGCACCAGUUUCCUUCACAAUCAUAAACAAACACGAUGGAUAAAAUCGAAGGCAACUUCAAAAUUUCAGGAAAAUAAAGUUAUUUGUUCUUUGUCAAGUCACUUUUCGGUAUAUAAUAAUUUUAAUUGAUCAAGCUUUUUGUAGAUAUAAGAUGUAAAUAUAACUGUACAAGAUGUAAGAUGAUAUUGUAAAAAAUAUGGGGGAUUUUUGCAAGCGUGAUGGCAUUUAUUAUCAAUAAACUUAAUUAAUAGGUCGUAGAUGUACACGAGAGAAAAAGAGAGAGGAAAAGAGAAAUUCAUUUUUUUGAUUUCACCAGUAUGCAAUAUUUUUUUUGACUGUAUGCAUUUCAUGUUUACUCUUACUUCCUGUGUGUACAUUGUAAUCUUCAUUUUCAACUCAGCAGGGAGUGGUUUCAAAUUUAUCAGAUUCGCAUCAAAAUAUGGAAAGUAAUUUGAAUUGUCAUACCGAAAAAAAAACUACAAUUGAAACUAUUUUUCCCAAGAUAACACUUUUCUCAACAAUUAGAGAAUGAUACAUAUCUUUGUAACAAAAAUUUAUCACUUGAUAACAUUUAUAGUGAGCGAGCAACCAGUAAACUAAGUGUUCAAGAAUGUACACAACUUGAAACAAAAAGAAGACUGCUGAUAAUAACUUCAUGUAACGAAAAAAAGUUAUGCACACUCGCAUAAAUGUCUACGCAGUGUUAUUGUUACAAUUAUUUGCCGUAAUAAUAGAAACGCAUGUAACACUCUCAAGACAUGGAGAUAAUGACAGACAAGUGAAAUUAAGAAAACACGUUUGGCAGUACAUAUGUGUGAUUUAUAAUAAAAUGAAUUCUGUAAAAUUGUUAUGUCAUAUAUCAUCCUUAGAUUGAUCAUAAGUGCUGUGAAAAUCCAAUGUGAAAAUUACGCGUUGCGUGUGAAUAACCUGAUAAGUCCAGCCUGAAGGUCCGUACAUACACAAUACAGGUUGUUUUAGAAAUUUUUAUUCUAUGCAAUAUGUGUCGUGGGAUGAGACAAUCACGUAUUAUUAUAUAAUCAAAUAUAAAUUUGAUCAAUUUUUUUUUGCAUAUGUCCGAACCAUAUGUACCAUAUAUAUAUAUAUAUAUAUAUAUAUAUAUAUAUAUAUAUAUAUAUAAUUUUAUAAUAUUUUAUAUAUAUAUAUAAUUUUAUAAUAUUUUAUAUAUAUAUAUAUAUAUAAUUAUUAUAUUUAUAUUAUUAUAUAUAUCUAUAUAUAUAUAAUUCUUAAUUUCAAGUAUUCACUAUUCAUUAGUAUUCAUUCAGUAUACAAGUAUGAAGUAGGAGGCUGGGCACCGCCCACCGAGCUAUCACAGUUGUCUGGUGCCGCAGCACAUACGUAUACGUGGUUCAGCCUUAAAACCUACCUCUUAUCCUAAUAUUUUUCUUAAUGUCAAAGAUCAUAUAAGAUAUAAAUAUAGCCUUGUACGAGAUUUACUGCACGAUCCGAAUUAACAGAUUUCUAAAUUGGGACAUAAUUAUUGCACGCAUGUAAAUUUUCAUCAAUGCAACAUUAUUCGGUAAACCUUAUACCAAGCUAUACCAUGUUACAUGCUGUCUGCAACUGAUGAUGGCGUUCGAGUUAUGUAAGUACAUUUACAAGCUGGUUUUAUUAUGUAUAUAUAUAUAUAUAUUUUUCAUUCUAUAGUAUAAUAGGUAUAAAAUUUAAGAAAAUGUUCAUCAACACCUUUAUUUCGCACGUCGUAAACAUAAGUUCUAUUCGUCAUUUAAUAACGUUACAUAGAGGAAGAAAUUCAACACGUGGCACCUUGACAAUUAUCACAAAAUAUACCUCAUAGAAUAAAUUAUCCUGAUGUAUUGCCAUUGUCAACUGCUUCGUAAGAUUAAUUUGAUCGGGAAAUUGAAUAGAAAUGUAGUAAGAAUCAAGAUUAUUGACGUGCAAAUAUGUCGAUGUCGAAUUAAUACAAAUCAUAAUUUUUUGUUCGCAAUUUGA